rnacentral:rRNA from 1 species
UACAGAGGUCCCGAGCGUUGUUCGGAUUCACUGGGCGUAAAGGGUGCGUAGGUGGUGGGGUAAGUCUCGUGUGAAAGCUCGCAGCUUAACUGCGAAAAGUCACGGGAUACUAUUCCGCUGGAGGCUUGGAGGGGGGACUGGAAUACUUGGUGUAGCAGUGAAAUGCGUAGAUAUCAAGUGGAACACCAGUGGCGAAGGCAGCCCCCUGGGUCGAUACUGACGCUCAUGCACGAAAGCGUGGGUAGCAAACAGG